AUACGUAGGGUGCGAGCGUUGUCCGGAAUUACUGGGCGUAAAGAGCUCGUAGGUGGUUUGUCGCGUCGUCUGUGAAAUUCCGGGGCUUAACUCCGGGCGUGCAGGCGAUACGGGCAUAACUUGAGUACUGUAGGGGAGACUGGAAUUCCUGGUGUAGCGGUGAAAUUCGCAGAUAUCAGGAGGAACACCGGUGGCGAAGGGGGGUCUCUGGGCAGUAACUGACGCUGAGGAGCGAAAGCAUGGGUAGCGAACAGGAUUAGAUACCCUGGUAGUCCAUGCCGUAAACGGUGGGCGCUAGGUGUAGGGGUCUUCCACGACUUCUGUGCCGUAGCUAACGCAUUAAGCGCCCCGCCUGGGGAGUACGGCCGCAAGGCUAAAACUCAAAGGAAUUGACGGGG
rnacentral:rRNA from 1 species